rnacentral:ribozyme from 1 species
AACAAAAAAAGAGAAAGGAGAAAGCAUAAAAGAGAAGAGAAAAUCCUCAAUCGUACAUUUGUCAACAACCUUCCCCCGUCUUACCAUUUUGGAUUCCUUGGUGUAUUCCCUUAUAUUAUCUCCUUUUUU